AAUUUGUUACACAGCAAUAGAUAGCUAACACAGAGUUAUUUAAUGGAACCCCAGUGUGGCAUUAUGGAUAAUUUUACAUGGGUGGGUCAACUUGGUUUCAGAGAUGAAGAAAAUAUUUCAGAAGCAGUGUAUAGGCUUUAAAUCUGGUGGACAUGGGCACCAAUUCAGGCUGUGUCUGUGGAAAGACAGGUAGAGGGACCCACAUAAAAUGUCUGCAAAGAGAUUUCUCUGCAGCAGGAUGGUAAGGACAAGGACCUCAGCUGUCUUGGUCACCGUGGUAUCCAGGCUCUGGCACAUAGUAGGCUCUCUGCAAAUCUUUCUUCAAUGGAUGGAUGGAUGGUUAGCUAUAACUUUGAGUAAGCCAUUCAGUUAUCUGGGCCAUCAUCAUUCAUUGGGCUUUUGUCAUGUGCUGAGUACAUAACGUUGAUUAAGUUCCAUGGAACUGGAGUUCCCAUUGUGGCUCAGCAGGUUAAGGACCCGAGAUGCUGUCUCCAUGGGCAUGUGGGUUCAAUCCCUGGUCUCGCUCAGUGGGGUUAAGGAUCCGACACUUGCCAUAAGCUGCAGCACAGGUCACAGAUGUGGCUUGGAUCCAGUGUAGGCUUGUAGCUGCAAUUCUGAUUCAUCCUCUAGCCCAGGCACUUCCAUAUGCUGCUGGUGUGGCCAAGAAAAAAGUUCCAUUGAACUUUUGUGUCCUAUACAGAUUAUAUGUGCCUCCCCUGCCACCCGCCCCAUUGCCUUCCUUCCCUCACUGUCUCUUCUCCUUGGACUUCUUUUUUAUUUUUAUAGACACCUCAUGAGCUUUAAUUUCUAUGCUGAAAACUUUCUCAAGGGAGCACCCUAUUCUAUCCCCCCCCCUUCUUUAUCUUUUAUGUCUUUUUAGGCCCACACCUGUGGCAUAUGGAGGUUCCCAGGCUAGGGGUCUAAUCAGAGCUACAGCUGCCAGCCUGCACCACAGCCACAGCAACACUGGAUCUGAGCCGUGUCUGUGACCUACACCACAGCUCACGGCAACGCCAGAUCCUUAACCCACUGAGUGAGGCCAGGGAUAGAACCCCCACCCUCAUGGUUCCUAGUUGGAUUCGUUUCUGCUGCGCCAUGAUGGGAACUCCUUUUUCCCCUUUCUUUUGGUUGAAAAAUGACUUGAAAGGGCUGCUGCUAAGUAAGAGCAGUUCAGUUUCCCACCAUGACAGCUAUCUCCAGUCCAUUUUACCCCUUUCCUACUGACUUUAUGGCGCUGAUUUUAACCAGGUUUUAUUGUAACAGAAAUGCUCUGGGGGUGGAGGAGAAUCAAACAGAGCGAUUUGCCUCAGACUCUUGUCCCAUCCGCCGACAAACACCCCCUUCUCCGCAGCUGGCUCUGUACUUCCCCCUCCUCCACCAUCAGCACCACCAUCAGCACCAUUAUUGCCACGCAGCCAUUGUUUAUUGAGUGCCCACUGCGUGCUAAUCCCUGAGUUAUGCAGCCGCUUCAUGCAUUAUUUACAUCUGUGCUAGAAGCUCUGAGUUUUGGCUUUGCCAGUUUUGUUAGUCCCGGCCCUUCAAAAAGCAGACUCCAAGCUGGGACUAACCGUGCAAGGAUUUUAUUAGGGGAAAAUAAAUGCCAGUGAGGUGGGAGCUAGAAAAGGCCAGGAGGACUCUCAGAGCCCAAGUGAAGGAAGGAGGCAGAGAACGUUAGGCACAAGUGUCCUGAACUCUGCCAUUGAUGAAGUGCAGCCCCCGGGAAGGAUGGCCCAUUGAUUUCAAAGCACAGCAGCUGGUGUCCUCAACUCCCUGCAGUAGGAAGUGUGCGGAAGAAUGUUUUUGUGGCUGCCACACAAAUACUUAAUUCUUCUUUCUUUUUAUGCAUCAGAAACCUGAUUUAUUUGGGGGGGGCGCAAAGACCUGAUUAUGAAUGAAAAGAUUUUAGUUCCCAGCCUUCCUUGCAUCUAGGUGUGGCUUGAUGACUAUAUUGCAUGACUCCUGGUUAUGCAACAUAAACAGGAGUGUUAGAAAGCCCUGACAGAAAUGCUCCUUACGGGCAUCUGACUUGACUGGGAAGUGCAUCCUUUCUUCCCUUCUCUCUACCAGGACUGCAGGCAAAAUGGCUGCAGCCUCAGCAGCCGUUUUGUGCCAAGAGGCAAUAUGUUAAUAAUGAAACGGCAGAUUAGAAACCUCAUGACAGUUCUGGAUUGCCUAGCUCCAGCUUUAACCUGAGAGAAGAAUAAACUCUUUUGUUUAAGCCCUUAUUACUUUGUUUGCAUUAUAAGCAGGUAAAUCUAAUUCUAAUUGGUACAGUAUCUCAUCUUCACCAUAGCUCUACAAGGCAAGCAUAUUUAUGCCCAUUUUACAGAUGAGGAAAAUGAAUCUUAGAAUGAUUAUUAGAACCUAAAU
rnacentral:lncRNA from 1 species